rnacentral:tRNA from 1 species
GGGGAUGUAGCUCAAAUGGUAGAGCGCUCGCUUAGCAUGCGAGAGGUUCGGGGAUCUAUACCCCGCAUCUCCA